rnacentral:misc_RNA from 1 species
UUUCCGUAGGUGAACCUGCGGAAGGAUCAUUAUUGAAUUACCGAGGCGUGAGCGCUGUCGCUCACCCCUUAGGCCGCGCACGCCCGAGUGCACUCACUCACAUCCACUCCACCCCUACCUGCACCACCGCGAGGGUCCCCCUUUGCCUCGCUCGGCGGGGGGCUUACGUUUUAACACAUACUUUGUAUUCACUGAAGAAUGUAUUUAUUAUUUUUGCCAACCCGCAAUUUAUACAACUUUUAACAUCGGAUCUCUUGGCAUUCGCAUCGCAGAAGAACG